rnacentral:lncRNA from 1 species
UUAAAUGGAUUGAAAUUCCUAGAUCCUUUGAGAUUCAUUGAACUUUUCAAUAGCAUGUUUAAAUCUCGAUUGUGCCCUUCAAGUUUGUGACUGGGAUGUCGAGAAUCACAAAGUGUGGCUAACCAUGCAAAUUAGCUUGGUACACUUAAUGUUACAGAUCACCUAAUAUGUGUGUCGGUUAACCACACACACUCCAUUGAUAUAUGAUUAACAUCAAGCUACCCUUUUCCACACGCUUUCAGUCCUAGAUUAGUGUGGCGGUUAACCACACGCGAUCCACUAACGACUUAACAAAGUGCAAAGUGCAAUUUCAUGGGUUAGCACCAAAUUUACAUUUUUCCUAAGUAACUAAGAUUGAGAAUUUAAAAGUGUUUAAUUACUUGGUAUUUUCAUUAUAAUUUUAAUGAGAAUUAAUGUCCUAUCCUAUCCAUUCGGCUAACAACCCUCCACCAGUCAAGGAAGCGGUGGGUGAGAGUGGACACCCAUUAAACCGCCAUUUUAUAGGCAACAACCUUAUACCCCCCUUAUACACCGACUUUGUGAAUGAGGCCUACUAAUGGUAAGACUGACUUUUUACUUAUACAUAUAAUAUAUUAAACUUUUAAUAUUAUAAUAGUAUAAGGGUUGAAUUUUAAACUUUUAAAAUUCUAGGGUUUGGAACUAAAGUUAUUCAAAAGUGAAACUUUACAAAUUCCAAAACUUUUGGGCAAGUUUUGAAACUUGUCAAAACUUUUUUAAAUCCAUAACUGAUGAGUUUAAUAUAGGUUUUAAGAAAUGACUCUUGACAUUCCAUAACUUCAGGACAAGUUAUGGAGCUCAUAAAACAUUUAUGUAAAAGACUCUUCAAGUUCCAUAACUUGAGGACAAGUUAUGGAAGACUUAAAACCAUAUUAUGAUGACAUUUAAAAAUGAGACUUUUCACUUUCCAUAACUUGAGGACAGGUUAUUGAUUUCAUCAAAAACAUUUACAUCAAAAAUUCCAACUAACAAAAUUAAACAAUUUGCGUAUGAUCUAAUUAAACUCAUAAGUUAAGAUAAUUUAUAUCAAACAAAUUUCAAGAAAUUAGCCUAAUCAUAUAAACUAAUACAAAUCAUGAAACUUCGACAAUUAUCUUUUAUUUGGAUGAGAAUCAUCAUUACCAUAUCAACAAAAUCAGAUUUUAUGAACUAAAACAUUUUGUGGUAAUGAUUCUAAUCCAAAACAUGCCAAAAAAAACUCGAAAAACUGCCCACUAGAGCACCAAGUCGGCGAGUACAUGAACUGGACUCGUCGAGUUGGACCUUUUCUGAGUGGACUCGACGAGUCACCCAGUCGAUUCAGCGAGUUCACUAUCCAGAAUGCAGAAAAUCAAUUUUUUACACUUUGAAAACCAAUAAAACAUCAAUUAUAAUAGAAAACAACCCUAGGCUCUGAUACCACUCAUGGAUUUUAGUAGACUACAACAUCCUAUGGUGCACAUACAACCCUAAAUGCUUUGGAUCUAUGUUCUCUCUAAUUAUACAUGCAAUAUUUUUUCCAAAGCAUUAAGCCUACAACUAUCAUACAAAAUGAUAUAAACAACAUAAAAUUGGGUUAUGGAGUUACCUCUUGUUUGUAGCUUGUAGAACUUCUUGAGUUUGGCCUUUAAGAACUAAGUGCCCUAAGUGUUGCACAUCAAAUGGUUCACAACACACCUAGGAAAAAGGAUGACUUUUGAGAUAAUAUCCUAACACCAAAAUCGGUUCAAUGAUCUCCAAGAACACUAAUGUAUGUAGUAGCCAAUUUUGGAUGCUAAGGGGCUUCUUAUAUAGUGUGGCAAGAUUAGGGUUACACCAUGCAAACCCUAAUGUGAAUGACCUUCCAUAUUCCUUAGGCUUUAUGGGUUUAAACCCCAUGGAUCAUCCAUAGGUUCUAACAUUGGUUUAGCCUAACCUAAAGAAUCAUGGAUCAUUGGCCCAAACCAUAAGAAUGAAUGAUUUACCAAAUCAAUCCUCAUAUAUUUAAUCAGUCUCUUUUGAUCAUAAGAUUAAUUCUUGAUCAAUACUAAUUAAAUAAUACGAUUUCAUAUUAAUAUAUUAGAACUUAUAAUAUAUUAAUAAAUCAUAAAUAACCUCUUCUCAAAAGUCCAUCAUAUCUAAUUGUCCUAGUGAUAUGCAACCCAAAUGGACCAUGCUACUCUCGGUUCAAGUACAUACCAAUUAUAGUUAUGGGCUUAGACACCUAAUCCAUUAUGUACAAUCUGAACUGAACAUAGAACAGUCAGAUAGUCAGACUGUCAGUCAAGUUGAGCCACGAGUGGUUAGAAAAACCAACAUAAUUGAGGAAAUGAUGGACAUGGAUGAAAGUACAAGGAUUUGAUGGCAUCCAAACCACCAAGCCUUUCUGGAAGACCAACACCGGUGUAAGUCAUGGAUUGGAUCUCCGAGAUGGAGAUGAUUUUUGAAAGUUGCGACUACAAUAACAAACAGAAGACCGAUCUCACGAUAACACUAUUGAAGACUGUAAUAUUAAGUUAUUGAAAGCUACUAGCUGAUACCAUGCCCAAGGGAGAAGCUAGUAAGAUGUCUUGGGAAGAAUUUUUGGUACAACUAAAAAUGCAAUACUGAUUUGAGCAGGAUCUUCUGGAGAUCAACAAUGAGUUUCAGAAUAUGAAGAAGGGAAGGAUGAGUGUCAUCAAGUAUGCUGCUAGUUUUACUGAGAAAAUGAAGCUUGUUACUUAUUUGGUUCCAACUGAACUCUCCAAGGUCAACAAUUUUGCCAAUGGAUUACCAGCAGACUUUGGUCCAAUGGUCAAAUAAGCAACCACCUUGAAAGCCGCCAUCUGGGCAGCUAAGAAUGUAGAGACCCAGAUAAGAGAAAAGGGUCUAGAAAAAGAUAAGGCAUGAGAAAAGAGGAAGUUUGAAGGAUCCUCAAGAUCCGAUAAGAAAGGAAGAUUCUCAAAGUCUAACCUGGACGGCCAAAAGUAUGGAGCCAAAUGGCAUGAAAAGUGCAAGAAGAAGCAUUAUGGUAGAUGCGACGGAGAAGUAACUUGUUAUAAGUGUGGGAGGAUCGGUCACUAUUCUAGAGAUUGUACAUUUGACAAAAAGAAGUGUUAUGAAUGUGAAGAUGGUGGGCAUAUUUCGAAGAACUACCUAAAGAAAAACAAAGCUGCAAGGCAAAAUGCGUCACUGAAGCCAAAGGCAAGAGCAUUUCAGAUGAUCCUUGAUGAAGCAAGUGAUGACGCAAGGUUAUAGGAGUAAGUAAGGAUCUAUAAUGUAGCCAUAUACAUAGUAUCAUGUGGUAAAGCCUAAUAUAAGAGGCAUAGUGUAAGGUGAACUUGAAUAUUAUGUAAUUGUUUCAAGAAAUAAUAUAAACCUUGGUUAUGUUAUCCGAUGUGUUAAAUUCUUGUGUGGUGAAUUGAAGAACUGAGAGACAAUACUUGGGACGAAUAUGAGUAGGUGUGAAUGGUAGUAGAGGCCUAUACUACCGGAAGCACAUGACUCACACUUAGAUCAGGGAAAGUCACAAGGUUACCAAGGCACUAGUAAAUGAUUCAGUUUUUUUCAUGCCUAUCGUUACCAUCGUUUAAAUAAUGACUAAGAAGAUGAUUAUUAUUCUGAACCUAGUGGUUAUAUCAAAUCGAUAUCGGCUAAGAUAAGUAUUGUACAUGGUUCAUAGAACCAAGUUUGAUGUAGCAUCUGACUUAAGCCAGAAGAUUGAAAUAAAAGAUAAUCGAAGUGAUCAAUAAAAAUAUCACGAUCGUUGUUAAAGUAAGACACUUUUAGCUAGAAGCGCUACGUGGUAGGAUGUAAUUAUAUCACAUUAGAACAUGAAGGAAUGUAUCUUCCAUUCUGGAAUCUGACUUAAAAAGACUUGAGUCUAAGCGUUACAUCAUACGAUGAGAGGUCAUUAGAACAUGGCCCAUUAGUCUAUUACAGUAAUCGAAGUAACUACCUUAUCUUAAGUUAAGUAUGUUUAAGAAGAAGCAGGAGUCUCCAAUAAGGACGUAGUUUUUAACUCGAAGGUUAUGAUUGAAAGUCCAACACAGGAUAAAAAGCGGGUGCAAGAUUGCGCACCGCCAACAGUCAAGGAGUCCUAGAGUUAAAUACUCAGUUGAAAGGACAUAAGAGUUACGACUACCACCUAUGAUGGAAAGGAAACGUAUGAAGUCAUUAUACAAGCCCUAUUUUGUUGAUGAUUCAGGGAUGUAAUAAAACUAAGGGGGAGAUAAUUGUAACACCCGUAGAUUCGGGCUAGUCAAUUUAAAUAUAAUAAGCAUUAAAAGUGAUUUUUUUAUAGAAGAUUAUCUAGGAUAAAUAAUAUUAACCAAAGUAAUAGUGAGGUGAACAAUUGUAACCUAUUUGACGUAAUAAAGAAGAAAUAUAUGAAUAUUAUGUGUUUCAUGAUUAUUAUAAUAUAAUAAAAUAGGAAAAAUUAGCCGAAUCGUCCGUAAAUCGUAAAAAUAAGUGCGCCGAAACAUAUAUAUUAUUAUAUAUUUAGAAAGUACACGUCUUCCCCAUCCCGUAAAUAUAAAUAUCAUGGAAAUCCGACUUCGUAUGAAAUAGGUAUUAUUUUUACAAGAUAUAAAAGUCAGCAACGCAUAAUGAAUGUAUGACGUAAAAAGCUACGAAGAGAAUGGUUGACUUUUAGCUAAAGCCACCAAAAAGAAAAUCAUAGUAUUAUUUAAAAUAAGAAUUUUGAGAAAAAGAAUGCCAAAAACAGAGUCCGUACGAGAGAGUUAUGAUUUUAGCAAAAUCAUUUAAUUUUAUAAAAAUAUGGACGAAAAAUAAAGUCAAAAUUAGCCAACGGAGUCUAAACGAAAGUUGUAGAUCUUGUCGAUAGCUAUGUGUGGAUAUAAAGAACGUCAAAAACGGAGUUUGUAUGAACGAGUUAUAAUUUAUAAUAGCAUAUUUACGUAUUAAAAUAAAGUAUAAAUCAUAUAUACGUACACACAAACACACACACACACACACACACACACACACACAUAUAUAUAUAUAUAUAUAUAUCAUUUGCAAGGUAUCGACGAUGCGGUCAUUAUAAGACUAGUGUUGAAUACUUUCGACAUUAGUUUAGUACAAAUAUCAUUAAAUCUAUUUAAAAUAGUAUUAUAAGUGGGUGCUUAGUCAUUUAAGUAACUCCAAAUGGAGGUUUUUGAAAAUUCAAUUACUAUAAUAAGAGGCUCUAGGCUCUUAUGUUUCUUGCACCAUUCUCUUGAUUUAAGAGUCUUUUUCUUCUUAUCCGCUGAGCAUUUCGGUCCUUCAUGAUUCGGCUUCUUUAUCUGUGGCUUUAGUAUGUAAGGUGAGCGCUGAAGCGCUACAAGAAUCUUUUAGAAAGAUUCAGCGACGAAGUUCUGCCCUGCAGAGCCCGACUCCUAGCUAAACCCCCCUUGUAAUUUUCGUCGAAGGAACAUAAAAUUGUUAGAAGCGAAGCAUUGCCCGAGUUUGGAGUCAUCACUUUAACAAGUGAGUGCAUAGUUACUUUCAUCUUACACAUAGAUAUGAAGUAUUUACUAUUAAUACAUGCUAUAUGUGCUUAUUAUUUGUGUUCUUGAUAUCUAUGCUAGAUGAACGAUAUUUACGUGUUUUAUGUGAUUUCAAUUGUAUAUGUAUUUUUAUACUUAUAAAUAUGUAUUGGGUAGGGAUGGGUGAUGAGAGGUAGGUGAUGAUAACUAGGCGAUGAUAGAUAUGCGACGAUGAAUAGGUGAUGCGAGAUAAGAGAUGAUUAGGAGAUGCCAUAACCUUGACAUGCGAUGUUGCGAUGUAGUCAUCUACCAAAGUAUAGAUGGCGACACCUGACUAAUCUAAACAAGUCAUGUGGAAACACCGGCAGGCUCAUAACUUGUAGGUUAUGAAUUACGAUUUCAGGCGAUGUAGUAACUACGUAUGCAUGCGAAGAUACUCCAACCCUUACUGGACAUGCAUUGGGGUAGUAAUCCCCGAAUCAGUACUAUCUAUGCGAUGUAGACAGUGAUCCUUAGGAAAAUUCCUUAGGACCAAACAUAUAAGGAAAUGUGAUGUAAGGAGAUGAGAGGUAAAUACGAUGUAGGAGAUGAACCUUAGAAUAAAUCAUUAGGGAAGAUUAAAUGAAGAAAAUGGGGAUGGGUAAUCAGGUUAUUUGUUUGACAUGAAUUAUGUGAAGAAACAAAUGAACUAUGUUAUUGUGGGUUGAAAAACCUUAUGUACUUACCAGAUUUCCCAACCGGACCCUCUCAGUUUAUUUGUAUCACAGGUGUCGAUACGAAGCUACAUUACAUCAAGAGGUUAAAGGAGAUGUAAAUCACUAGUGUAAAUGUAUGUAAGGCCUUUUUAUGCUUUUGUUUCUAUAUUGACGAUGACAUCCCAAAGUUUUAAUACAAACAAAAUAUAUUUCUUUGGAAAUGCUUUGAUAAUAUAUUUAUCAUGUUUUCUGGGAACAAAUUCCGUAAUAUUAUUCUUUAAAAAUGAAUACUCUGAUUUUCAAAUAAGCAUAAAUAAAAUUUUUAAAAUGACUGUGAAUUUAGGGGUGUCACACCAACCGAUACAAUGCUUUGACUAUCGGAGUCGCACCUGGAACCAAAUCAAUCCUGAAAUCCCUUUGACUCUCCGGAGGUACCCCUAGCAAAUCCUUCGGGAACACAUCCGGAUAAUCCCGCACGAUCGGCACAUCAUCCACAAUUGCCUUACCCAAAUCUCUAGUAUCCAUGAUAUAGGCGACAAAAGCAGAACAACCCUGAUGAAGAUAACUUCUAGCCCUUGCUGCAGAACACAUAAUCAGCCCAUGUUUCAGUCUCUCACCCUGAAUCACCAACUCUCCCCUACUUAGGGUCCGAACCCGAACCAACUGUUUCUCACAGUCGAUCACUGCUCCAUUAGAGCUCAACAAAUCCAUGCCCACGAUAACAUUGUUCCCACACAGAGGAAUGGGAACCAGAUGAACCUGAUACAACUCACUGAAUAGCUUAAUAGUAAACCCUCGAUGAACCCUCACAACCCGAAUGGACCUAUCACCAACAAUCUCCACAUCCAAAGGACAAUCUAGCUCCCCCGGAGCUCCAACAAAUCUCUUGCUAAGCGCCAGAGAUACAAACGAUCAGGUAGCCCUUGAAUCAAAUAAUACCAAAGCAAUGAUACUGUUCACAAGGAUUGAUCCUAAAAUAAAACACAUAAAUAUAAGCAACAAUUCAAUAUAAAUAAAGAGAUAAAGAGAAGAUACAUACCCGUCACGGCAACAGGAGUUGCACGCGCCUCCUCCACGGUCAGUUGGAAAGCCCUGAUCUUCACCGCAGGUGCCUCUGCCCGGCCCUGGCGUCCUUUAGUAAUCCUCAAUGUUUUAGGAGUGGGUGCUAACACCGGUCCUGCUGCAGCUGCUAAACUCGGACACUAGGCCUUCUUGUAGCCCCUCUGAUUGGACUAAGAGCAAAUCAAAUAAGAUGCCGGAGUGAUGGGGGUGUUAGCAGUACAAUCUCUGCUGAUAUGACCAGUCCGGCCGCACUUGAAGUAGCCAGAAGCAUCCAUCAUGCACUUCGCCUCGUGCGAUCUGCCGCACUUGCCACAGUGGCCUCGAUCCUGUUGGCCCUUCCCUCUCAUAUCAACUACAUUGGGCCUCAUGCCCGAACCCUCAAUACUGGACACAAAAUUUGGCUUCAUCUUCCUUUCCAUCUCCAAAUUAAUCUCCAAAUCAAUCCCCUUCUCCAUUUCCCUCACAGUCACAUAAAAAGGAAAGCACUAGAGCUUCCUCAUGUUACAUUCAAAGAUCAACUUGCAUAAUUGUUAACGAAAGCUAUAUGUAGAAGAGUAUUUCAGUUCUCUCUUGAUAAGCUAGGAAAGAUGGACAUACAUUCUCCGCCUUGAGGGGAGUGUUGACGAGAUCAUUAUUAGGAAAUGUUGUUUAUAUCAAUAUUAUAUAAUUCCUAUAGAAUAACAUGUAGAUAAGAAGUUGUUAGUUUCUUCCCUGUGUGUAUGUAUGUAUAUAUAUAUAUAUAUAUAUAUAUAUAUACAUGUUGUAACAUCCAAAAUAUGGUCCCAAAAAUUUUCAUUUAUAAUAAAUAAAAUAGUAUCAUCAAUUGUCAUCCAUACAUCUCAACGAAAACAAAUAUAUCAAAUUAGAGUAAAUAUCAAUUGCGGAAUCUCCAUGGUGUGUGCGGUGCAGUUAGCUUGAUCCCUUCCCCUUGGAACCGGAAAUACCUGAAACAAACUAAAUCCGUAAGCACAAAACAUAGUCAGUUCCCUAAGAUAUUGAUACCAUACACAUCAUAUAAUGGGCCCCACCUACACUCGCAUAACGGGCCCCGCCCUAUGAGAUACGAGCCUCACCUACACUCGCAUAACGAGCCCCACCCCAAAAGAGAUACGGGCCCCGUCCACACUUAUAAUACGGGCCCCGUCCACACUCAUAAUACGGGCCCCGCCCAGUAAGCAUACAUAUACAAACACAUACAAGUAUCACACAGACAACAAGUAUAUCAACAUAAUCAACAUGGGUCAGCCUUGGUGCCGUAGACGCGCUAAACCCGAUGAGGAAAACUCACAUCGGAUGUUAAACAAUAGUUGAAUAGGUCCCGACUCUAAAUAUCAGCUCUACUCAACCCCUAAACAUAAACAAUUCCUUAUAUACAACUAAAAAUGCCCCGAUACCUCUUAUAGGUCAAACUUGGUCAAAGAAAAAAGUCAAAAGUCAAGGUCAACGGUCCGAGUUGACCCAGCACGCUGUGUCGUCCUUCAACACGUAAUGUUUCUUCAUCCAUUGCAAGAUCGGGAAAAACCAUGCCAACACACCGUGUUUACCAAUGAACACGCCGUCUUCGCUAGAAAUCCAACAACAUAAUACAUUAAGCUGACUUCAUUAAAUCUACGAGCUCCAAAGCUCAGAUCUUAAUCAAAAUGAUAUCUAGAAGGGUAAAAUUUCCAACUUUACCCUUAGGAACCACCAAAAUUGGUUAAAACCGAAACCCUAGGCUCAUUAGAGUGAGGGCUUAACCCGUUAAGCUCUUAAUCUCCAAAGACAUAGCCCCAAAAUGCAGAUAUGACACCUAAAGGCUGGAAAAUCACGUGAAGUUGCUAACUUUACGUUCAUGCGUGCCAAAGAGAAGCUCUAUAGCUCAAGAAGGGCUUAAUAAAGGGCUUAAUGCAUGAAUGAGACCUAGAACCUAAUAAAUCUUGAAACUUUAAGCCAAAGGUGGCCACAAAAUGGCCAAAUCUAACAUGACAACCCAUGAAACACUCAGCUCCUUAGACAAUCCAUCAAUGAGCCCAAAAAUCAUGAUGAAACCCCAAAAGAAGAGAUCUAAACAACAAAAAACAAGGUAUGAACUUGAUACCUCAAAGAGAUUGCAACAAGUGGGGAGAUUCUGGAUCUAUAGCCUUCCCUCCAAGCUAGACACCUUCAAACUUCAAGGCUCCUUCAAAAGAGUACAAAAAUCCACAAAAUCCACUCAAAAAUUCAAGAUCACCACCAAGGAAAGCUCACAAUUUGAUUUAGGGUUUAAGAUGAUAAAGGAGGCUGGUAAGGAGGCCGGUCAAGGGGACUUAAGGCCUUUAAAUAGGGUGCAAUACCCUAAAAAUUAGAGUUUCCUUCCCAGCUGCCAACACGCCGUGUUGGGGCACCUUAACACGUCGUGUUGGUUCAUUAAACUCCACGGCCAAAAGCAUCUCAACACUCCGUGUUGAGGCUCCAACACGCUGUGUCCCAAAGAAAAUAAGAACAACUUGGAAAUAAAUUCAUACCAGGAAAUCAGGCGUUACACAUUUAUCUUUGAUAGAAUGAAAUACACAGAAAAAGGAAGUUCAUUCCCAUUAAUAUUCUCAAUUUCUACAUUUUAUUGGAUCACAUUUGAAUUAGUGGAGUUUGUGUGGUGAAUAUAUUAUUUUCUGUUUUACGAAAUCAUCUAAUGGUGACCUAAAUACUAGCGAUUUAAUAUGUGCAUAUUCCAAAAAUAAUUUGUAUAACAUAUAAUUUAUAAAACACAAACCGUAAACCUUUGUGUAUUUCCACUAUAAUUCCAUUUUUUCAAAUUUACUAAUUAUAACUAUGGUGAUUCUUAAAUGAUUUUUAAUUCCUAAUUACAUUAACAUUAUUUGUUUUACUAGGCAUAAUCAUACACGUUGUGCAUGAAUACAAUUAUACAGUUAAAAUAUUCAUGAGUAUUUGUUUAAAUCAUUUCAAUCAAUAACAGAGCCAAAAUUUUGGAUACCGAAAGUACAAAUAUAAUCUAGAUCAAAUGUAACUAUUUGAACAAUGUUCUUUAAUGUUAAACUUGUACCUCCUAGAGUAUAAUAUAAAUAAAAUUUUCAAUUAAAUUCGGCGAGUUCCGUUUAUUGAAAAUGAUUGAUUAUAUGGUUAUAAAAAAUCUAUAGAAACACAUUUCUUAAUGAAAAUGACUAAAAUUUAACAUAUCUUUCUUUUGGAGAUAAGACAUAGAAAAUAUUCUUUAUAAUGACAUGGAUUACCAUAUUCUAAUAAAAAACAUACUAAAUGCAUUAUAUAUUUAUGUGAUAUUAUGAUAAAAGCUUGCAUCAUAAUCUAGAUAGAAAAUAUACGGCUCCAAUGGUAUAUUAUGAUUUAUACCAAACUUUGUAUAUUUAAAGUUAUAAUAGAAUAAUGUAUUAAAGUAUUCAAAUUAUAACAAUAUAAAGAUAAAUUAUAUAAAUAAAAUAAGGUAAUCAAAAUUAGUUAAUUCAUUGAAGUUUUCAUUUAAUAUUACAACUAUUCAAAUUCUAGUUAAAAAAUAUUUGACAUUAACAACUACAACUUAAAAGUUGUUUUUUACUUAUAUACUUAAAUGAUAGUUAUAAGUUUUAAUUAAAUAUAAUUUGAAUAAUUAGGUUGUAUUUAGUCAAUUAAAAAGAUAAUAUGAUCAUCUACUCUUUAUAUAGAACAGUCAUCAAAAUCUCAUAUAAACANNNNNNNNNNNNNNNNNNNNNNNNNNNNNNNNNNNNNNNNNNNNNNNNNNNNNNNNNNNNNNNNNNNNNNNNNNNNNNNNNNNNNNNNNNNNNNNNNNNNNNNNNNNNNNNNNNNNNNNNNNNNNNNNNNNNNNNNNNNNNNNNNNNNNNNNNNNNNCAAAUUUAAUCUACACCUAAAAUUACUUCUUAAAUCUGCAUAUGUCUACAAUGAGACUUGAACCUUCAACUUUAAGAAGGAAAUGUAAUACCUGAUAUCGAUGGGCUAAAAUUAAAAAAUCGUAUAUAUGAUUGAACUGUGUCAUAUUCAAUUUCGUCCUUUGUUUUUCUUAAUCUACCGGUUCUAAAUACUUUUAAAGUAAUUAUAUUUUUCUCUUUCUAAUUUGUACUUGAUCCUAUACAGUUUAACUAAAAAAGAAAAAAAUAAAAAAGAGUUAGGAACUAAUGUUUUUGAAAAAAUUAGAAUAUAUCAAAGAAGUAGAAUCUGUUAGGAAUUAUAAUGCAAUUCCAUAUUUUAUUAGGUAGGCAGGAAAUAAAAUUUGAAUUCAAAUUCAAUUAGAUAUUUUUUUUGGUUGACAACAAAUGAAAUUGAAAUAACAUAAAAUGUCCUGAUUGUCUUUGUUUUUUUUUUUCCUUAAAUUUACUUUUUUAUAACUUAUGUGUAAAGAUUUUUUAUAUAAAUUAUAAAAAUAGUAAAUGAUGGUAGCAACGACGAUCAGUGGAGUUGGUGGUGGUAAAGGUGGUGCUGAUGUUGCCGGUGAUAGUGGAGGUGAUGUCGGGUGGGUGGGUCGUGACAACGAAGGAGGUGAUGAUGGUGGUGAUGUAUGAUGAUGACAUUGGUAGUGACGAAGAUGAUAGUGGUGGUAGAGGAGUUUUAUAAGUAGUGAUAAAACUAAAAAACAUAAUAUGGUAACUUUUAACACUUGGAAAUGAAUUUUAAAUUACUCAUCUUUUGAAUGAAAUUCAGUUCCCUUGAUGAAAGAAAAAUUAAAUUCAUUUAAAAUUCAAAUUCUUUUUGAAAGCUUAAACCAACAUUUAAAAAAAAAGAAUCAACAUUAAUUUAAUUCCUUCUGAUUCUAAAAAAUUAUAACCAACCAAACCUUUAAAGACCAUGACAAUUGACCAGGCCCAAUAUCGAUUCUGAAUUUCAUUUCAGUCCAACACUUGAAUACUACGAGCCCAACCAAGCCUGGUCACUUUAGAACGAGCACACAGGCGAGAGUGAAAGAUAAAUUUCUUUUGUCUUCAAUUCGUUUCAAUCUCCUUCAUAAUUGGAUCAAUCUGCACGAGCUGAACACAGCCGAUUAGAUUAAUAGAUUGCUUGAUUGAUUUCUCUUAAUUACUUUUAUAUUUUCCGUCAAAAUUUAUAAAAUCUAUGCUAUCCCGUCCUUUUGGAUCAAUUUGCACGAGCUGGACACUGCCGAUUAGAUUAGGCAUAUAAGAUCAUCUCCAAUGGAUUAAAAUAUUAAACAUAUGAAGAGUUGUAUGAAAUGUCAAGUAGGAGAGAGAAUACUUUAAUUUUUAAAAUACUCAUAAAUUUGUAUUAUAAUUCUAUUGAACCGUUGAAUGGCCAUUCAACUCUACCUUCUCUAUCAUCUAUAUUAUAUUAAAAUUUAUUCUAUUAAAUUUUUAAACAACUUCUAUUGGGGAGGACCUAAUUUUAGUAACAACUAGUGUUGUGUUCUUGUUACACGCUAAAAGCUUAACAAUCCAUAGAAUCUCAUACAUAUAAUCUACUAGAUUACGACCUGCGUUAGACGCUGAGAACAUAUAAAAAAUAUAUAUAUGAGUUAUAAAAAUCGACACAAUUAAAAAAAAGAUAAAGUAAUAUAAAAAAAUUAAUAUCAUAAAACAAAAUAAAAGAAUGAGCUGAUGAUUAAAACUAUAGAUUAAAAAAAAAAAACAAAGUAUUCAAUCGUAAACUAAUAUAAAAUAAUAAAUAUCUUCAUUAGAAAAAACAACGGUUAUCGAAUGCAAUAUAAAAUAUAUAAAAUCACACAUUUUUACUUGACAUAAUUACUAUCUCAAAAUCCGAAUGAAAUGAAAAAACUUCAUUAGAACGAUAUGCUGGAACGACAUACUCAAUCGUAUUUCCUUUAAAGAAAUAAAUGAGAUUGUUUAGAUAAUCCCAUCAUUCAUUUGCAACGACAUUGUAAUUACUAACAUCUACUUUAACCAACCGGUUCUGAAUGAAAAUCAAAAUAGCCCACAAACGAUCUCCACUUAUAGAAAAAUAUCUCAAUUUUUCAUCAAACUUGAUAAGCCUUGAUGCAUACGAGUGGAAAACAUGAAUAAUAGAAGGUGCAUAUAUCACUAAAUACUUUUCUAAUUAUACAUCGAAUCACAAAAUGACAUAGUCAGACAAUAAGAAGUAAACGAUACAUCCACUUAUAAUUGUAUCAUCCGAAACAGGAUAAACAUAAGAUGGUAACCGGAUAUUACGAAGUUCCCUCCAUUCCCAUGUACUAGAGGAAAACAAUUCUAGGUGGAAGUAAUCAUAGUUCACCUAAUUCUUAAGCAAAUCAUUACAAAGAAAAUAACAUAUCAGUAAUAAAAUAAACUAAAAUAAUAUACCUAAAAUAUAAUUAAGAUAAAGUCUUACGAUAACAGUGCGUAUGAUAAUCGGAUGAUCUUGAAAUGCAAAGACUUCGAACUCAUAACUACCAUAACAAACUUUACCGCAACGUAUUUAGAGAUUGGCAACAGUAAUGCUUUACGAUCUCAAUUCGUUGGUUUACAAAUAAAUGAAAACUUUUUUGGAUAUUCAUCUCCAUUAUCACAUUCAGCAACAAUGAGUCUGCACAACGAAGAUUUGGUAUACACCAUUUCAAAAUUCUUCCCACCACAUGAUGAAACAAACUGAUACACUAUAGUUCCCUGUGGUUUUUUUUGCUAAACAAUAACUCCAAAAAUCACAUUAUUUUUAUGUUUGUACAGAUUAAGAACAUGCUUGUUGUAUGUUAGUUUUUCAAAAUAUUUACUAGUACAACGUAAACUAUCAAAUGUCUGUAAUGAUGUUCUUGAAAACAUUUCAAUAAUUAUCUCAGAGUCCAAUGAUGAUAACUAUAAAACAAACAAAAUAAUAAAAAAUUGUACAAUUUUAAAUUAAACAGAUUAUAUAUAAAAUAAAACACGUAACAUAUUCAUCAAAAACAUUUGUAUAACAAUACUAAUGAAGUAAAUAGAAUUUAGUAAUGUACAAUGGAUGAGUGAUCUUGUGCAACAUUACUUUUAUUCCUCGAAAUAUACUCCAUUAUUGAUAUGAUGAAGCAACAAAUGUGUAUACCAUAAACGUAUAAUGAAUUGAAGUGAUCUGAAAAGUCGAAUUGACAAGCAAUAAGCAAAACAGGAGGUAAUAUGUGUGAAAUAUUCACAAAUGUCGUAGAAAAAAAUUAAUCAAACAAAUGGGAGAACUUUAAUGUCUGCUAGGUGUGACACUCGUGUAUUACACAGGUUUAUUAAAAAAAUUAAUAUCAAAUUUUGAAUAUCAAGCAAUUACUAAAGUAAUACUUUUACAAACAAGCAAAGACUUUAUUGCAUAAGUAUGUAUUUGAACCCAAAUUAGUAAUGACAUAUUCUAAAUAAUUGUUAAAGGAUCGAUCGAAGGCAAUACUAAAGGAAUGGGAAAAUAACGAAUAUAAUAUGAUAAAUUCAAAGGUUAAUCACUUAAUCAUGAUCAUGAAAAAGAACAUUGUGCCCUUUUUAUUUUAUUUUUUAAUUAAUUUUCUUAUUUAUGUAUUUAUUUUUAUAUAUUUAAAAAAUAUAUAGACCCCAUAUAUCUAUAGUUCCUCACUUUAAACCUAAAAUCACAUUUGAGAAAUUUAAGUUUGGUCCCACCAGUCACCAUUCCAUCUCUUAUCCUUCUCAACUUCUAUUUCAUUUUCAUCUUUAGUGAAAUCAACAUUUUCACCAUCCCUUCUUUUUUCGUCUCUUCAAAUCUGACAAACCAACACCACAACCCUUCUAUUGGGUUGUGGUGGUGGAAAAUUCAAUGAUGGACCAAAACAAGAAGGGACGAUGAAGAUGUCGAUGUCACUAUAGAUAGAAAUAAAAUAAAAGUUAAGGAAGAUGAGAAAUGAGAUGGUGACUGAUGAGACCCAUCUUAAAUUUCUCAAAUGUGAUUUCAGGUUUAGCGUAAAGAGAUACAUAUAUGUGAGGUUUAUUAAUUUUUUUAAACAUAUAAAAAAUAAAUACAUAAAUAAGAAAAUUAAUUAUUAAAUAAAUUAGAAAGGGCAUCAUAGUCUUUUGAGGUAAGAUAGGGACCAAACGCAAAACAAAAAUAAACAAUAGGGAUCAUCCGAGUUAAAAAAUAAGUUAGGGCAACACACAAAUUACCCAAGCCAUAAGGACCAUUCGUGUAAUUUAUUCUUACCUUUUUAGUUUGUUCACAUAUGGGUAGUUAUCUUUUUUUGUACACAUCUAGGUAACGAACUUUUCGGAAGUGUUCACAUAUGACUGGUUAUGACCAGAUGUAACCUGCUACAGCCGGUCAUAAUGGUCAUAUGUUAAAACUUCCAAAAAGUUUGUUACCUAGAUGUGUAGAAAAAAAAAUUACCCAGAUGUGAACAAACUGAAUAUUUAAUUAUCUUAAAAAGUCUAUUUUACUCUGAAUUUCCGUUUAUUUUAACUUUUUAACAUAGAAGGUUAGAAUAAUAAGGGACAAUUUGGUAACUUCAUUUUAUGUCAGAAAAGGAUUUGAUAUUUAUGUGCAAUAUGGGAAAGAUGACUGUCGAGUUAGUUGUGUUUCCAUUAAAUACAUUGAAAACAAGCAAAUGUUCCACUAUAUUUAUCUCAAAUUCAUUAAUUUGAUUCACUAUAUAGGAACUUAAUCUCCCCAAUUAUGUUUUAUUUGAAAAUUUAAUUACUAUUUUCUUGAUAUCCAAUAAUGAAAUCUUAAAUUCUAUACUUGUAUCUCUACUUCCAACCACUUUAAACAGUCAUAUACAAAUAACUCAAAUAGCGAGUAUUUUGAGCUAUAUAGCUCUAAUAUCUAUAGCUGAAGGUUUUUAGGAUAUGCUUAUUAUCUGUCAUAAUAAGUUUAGUUUAUAAGUUACUAAUGUUGAUAAUUAUAUUUAUAUCAAAUAUUUUUUAUUUAAAUAUUUCAUAAUUUCUUAUUCUUUUUAUUAUUUCAAAUACGUAUUAUCAUAAUUGUUAAAUUUUACUUAUAAUAAUUCUCCAAAUUUAGAUUAAGUAAUUAACAUUUUUGUGAAAUAUAGUUAGGUAAAUUUAGAUAAAAACAUUAAUGUAAAGAAAGAGCAUAAAAAAGGAAAACAAAACCGUGUUUGGGAGGCAGUGAAACUCUUGAUGCGAAUAUUGAUUCUUGAUCUAAGCAGAAUAAACAAUGAGUCCUCAGUCCUUUGGCGGUUUUACAGUUCUCAUCUAAAUUAUUGUUUGAAAUAUUUUCUCUAUGCCUAAACAGUAAUAGCAAAUAUCAUAGUAACAACAAAUGGCACGGUAACAACAACAUCAAUAUUAAUUUUAGUAAAAUUACACUAAAAGAAAGGACCAUAUCCACGGACAUGGCCAUGGAUCCAAUAGAAAGGUGGUAGAUAGGAUUUAUGAUGAAACAGAAGAACUCGUGCAUGAUCAUCAUCAUUCAAUGAAAAUUGUAUAAAUUCGAAGAUAAAUAUGCGAAACGACAUUCAACAUUUGGUGGUUAUAAUUGUAAUUCGCACAAUUCAUCCAAUGCCCUAAAAACAAAUGAUUACAAUUAAAAGACUUACCAUUAUACAUAUACAUUAAUUCUGCAUAUCAAUAUCUUAGAAAUACCGUUUGCUUAGCGUACAAGCUGAGUACGCCCCGCAUACUCAGCAGAUGGGCUUCGAAAUGUUUCGGGCUCAUGGUGUUGGGCCAUGUUUGGACUCUAUAUGAUUGGGGCCUUGUUGGGCCGUCAUAAUAUUAUUUUGGGCUAAGGAUAUUUUAUUGGAAUUUUGGUUGAAGGCCCAUGAAGUGGUUUGGGUCCAAUUUGGAAAAUUGGGCCAUAUUUGGGCCUUGGAUGAUUAUUUAGGAAUUUGGGAUUUUUGGACAUUUGGAUUGGGCUGUGGCCAUGGGCCAUGUUAGGGAAAGGGUAAAAAGGUCUUUUACCCUAAGUUGGACUCUUAGUGUGAGUUGGGAUCCAAUUAUUAAGUGGAUGUUAUUUUGUGAUUGAUAGUGUAGAGAUUUUUAGCAGGCCAACAGCCAGAGAUUUAUCUGUGCGAUUCAAUAGUCUGAGUUGAGUCUCCUCAUUGUAGUCGUGGGUCAAAGACACCAAUUCCGGUUCAUUAGGUUUUGUUAUACUAGUUAUGUUUGUGACUCUUGCAUGGUAUGUAGGGCUAGGCCUACUUGUAUGAUUGGGCUAGGCCCGUUGUAUGUCAGGCUAGACCCAUUUGUAUGAUGGGCUAGGUCCAUGGAUCAGGAGGGGCUAUUUGUGACUUUCACAUUUGUAUGUUUGGGAUAGGGCCAUUAGAUUGGCAGGGCUAGAUCUAUUAUGGUGGGUUGGGCUCAACAUGCAGGCUGGGCCCAAUGCGAGGGCUAGGCCCAAUGGUAUGUGUGGUAUGUGCUAUUUUGGGGAACUCACUAAGCUUUGUGCUUACGGUUUUUAUGGUUAUGGUUUCAGGUACUUCCGAUUCGAAAGAGAAAGGUUCGGCUUGAUCGCAUCGCAUCCACCCAUGUUUUCGCAUUUUGAUGAUUUUGAGAUUGUCCUCUGAUAAUGAUUUUUCUUAUAAAGUACUUUUGGAUAUUUAGAAAAAGAAUACUAAAUGUUGGCUUAAAUAUAAUUAAUAUUUUGUCUGAAUUAAAAGUGAUACUUUUACCUCAUAAUUUUGGGGUGUUAUAGUGUCUACUAUAAUAUAUUUACAAAAAUGGUCCAAGUUCAAGUAGAUAUACAGGAAUGGUCCUUUUAUAGUAAAUAUAAACUAAAUUUACUAUGUAAUUGUGGGAAUAAAUGGUUAAUAUUCAAAGUAAAAAUAGGAAGUAAGUGGAUAUUUCCAGAAAAUUUAUAAAAGUAGUUUUUAGAGUAAGGGCAAAACAGGCAAAACUCUAUAUUUCUAAAAGCACAAUGCUAUUUAUUGCAUAGUUUUGAAGUUUUUUUUUUUUUUUUCGUUUUCUUUGUAAAAGAUAUAGAAUUUUAGGGGCAAAUCAGUCACACACAACAAAACAACAUACUUACUUAUGGAAAAAUUGUUAAAAAUCAAAUUUUUAUAUAGUACAAUGUUAUUAGAUGUGGUAUCAUGUUACACAUGACAUGAUUUGAUGGUCACUAACUCAUUUGUUUUUUAAUUUCUUUUUUGAAAGAACAUUGACAUAAUUUGAAAGAACAAUGCCAUAAUGGACAAAUAAGGUUCCUGUUAGUGUUUUAGAUAAAAAAUUUGAAAAAACAUCAUAUUUUAGGAACAUAGCUUGAGAGUAUAAAUUGUAGUUUAGUAAAUAAUGUAUUAUAUAAUCAAUACUGUUUCCAAAUCCAUGUUAAUGUUGUAUGCACAUAGCCAUUGUUAAUUUCUCACCAGUUUAAGAAUAUUGAUGCUUUUCAAUAUUCUUAUAAUAAUAGUUUAAAUCUAAUGUUGGACACCAUUACUAGAUUUUUACUUGUUGGAGUACGAAGUGUUCACAUAAGGAGUAAGGAAAGUAAGAUGUUUAAAAAAUGUUCAUUAAUUGUUUUUCAUGAAUUCUCAACAUAAAGACAGAGUGAUAACAGGUAAUAAGAAAAGAGUAAAUGCAAGAAAUUGAAAAAGAAGGAGAUCAAAGUAAAGAAAAACCUAGAAAAAAAAUUAGAGAAGAAGACCACUGGAAAUCGUAUGCCUCAAUCUAAAAUCAUGAGAAUAACAGCUUCAAUGCAAUCAUAUAUAUAUAUAUAUAUAUUUCCAAAAAAGUAGGGAUCCUAAAGAUCAUAUAGGAGAUUUUCGGAUAUUUAUGUGGAAAUAAUAAAGGUAUCAAUUAAUGAUUCAAAAUUUCAAAUUAACUGAUAAUUUUCUGAUAUACACGACGUUACUAUUAUAAAAACUUAAAUGGUUUAGAAUAACUAGUUAACGGGGGAUCUAUAUGUAUGAAGAAAUGAUUAAAAAUAUAUGAUUUAAAUUCUAGAAGAAGAAGAAGAAGCUGUUGACCUGGCUCAUUUCAUCUUUUCUAUGGUUUAUCCUAUCUGUAUUAGGAUCAUUUGAGUAAUACUCUAUUUGUUGGUUAAGAACCCUUGAAAAUUUAUCAUGCAUGCCAUAAGCGUGGGCUGAUAAUACUGAUCAACCAUAAGUCCUGACAAAAUUUUGAUGAAUAUCUUCAAGAAAAUCAAAAGGAAUCCUUCCUACAAAAAAUAAUGUAUCAUCUACUUUGUCCAUAUUCUGCAAAUCAUCAAGUGACUUGCUCAAGCAAAAAGAUAAAAAUUACAUUGUUCAAAAAUGUUACUAUGAGAAGUUUGGAUUACCCAUGAUAAUUUAGUUCAACUUCCUUUUCAAUUCCAUAUAUAAGAAAACGAAGAAACGAAUUUGAUUUUCAAGUUUCAAUCUCUGUAUUUUGAACGAUAAUAAAGGCUAAAGUGGAAGAGCAAUUCAGUUAAUGCAAAAUCCUGAAUUUUGAAAAUUCCAACACUUGAAAUUUUUUAAGAUCGAAGAUCUAUGGAAGAAAUUAAAUUUAAACACACAAUUAGCAAUUCCUGUAUAUGGGAUUAGAUUUAAAAGGAAUGACAAAAAAUUUUGUUUUAAAUUUGGGAUGCUUUUAUUGGAAUUAAAUACAUUUCAUUUCAAAAAAGUAAUUCAUUGGAAGAUAUUAAAGAUUAUUGGAAUUAAAUCCAAUAAAAGGUGAUAUCAGCAAAAUAUCUAAUGGUGGAAAAGAUAGGGAUGAAAUGCAAUUAAAGGACCUGAUUAUUUAAGAUUAUGUCAGAAGGUUUUGUUUUUAAUAUAUAUUAGAGAUUAGAGAUUGUGAAUAUUUAUUGUUAUUUGGUUUUUUGCUAAUAUAUAAUAUAUUCUAUAAUGAAUAUUAGAAUUUUAAAAUUUAACAUUUAAACAAUUGAAAAUUUUAAUUUUCGAGAACUUAAGAAUCCCACAGUUACCUCUAAUUUCUGUAAUAUCUCAAAUUACAAUUACCAUUUUACCCUUGAAUAUAUAUUAAUCUGAUUUUGAAUUAUUUUUUUUACAGCAAAAUUAAUCUAUUCCUAAAACUACUCCUUAAAUCCACCUAUGCCCAUAACGAGACUUGAACCCAAAAUCUCAAGGAGGGAGGGCAACACUUGAUACCGCUGGACUAAAAUUAAUUACAAAAAUAGCUUAAUUAAAAAAAUGAUUGGUUGAGAAUCUUUCUAACUUUAUUUAAUAUUCUUAUUUGAAUCAUNAUAUAUAUAUAUAUAUAUAUAUAUAUAUAUAUAUAAAAUUUGGAAGUAAAGAGGAUAACUAGCAAAACUAUAUGCACACAAGACACAAUAUUUAUGUGGUUCGGUCAAGGUGACCUACGUCCACGGGCAGGAGGGGAGUAUUCUUUUAUUUUAGAGCUCUCAAAUAGGGGUUAUAAGUACAAUUACACAAAGAUUCACCUAUCACCCUAGAAUUCAAGAUACAAAUUAACGUAGCGUGCAUCCUUAUUUAUACUUGAGGUAUCAAACCUAAGACCAUAAUGGGCCAAGCCCAUUAGCCUAUAGGCCCAUGAAUGGAGGCAACCAAUCAUAUUCCUCCAUGCAACAUCUUCUGGAACAUUCUCGAGCAUCAUAGUGGACUUCAUAGCAUACUUGGCUCAUCAAAGACCAAGAUAGUCCAACUUGCACCAUGAUGGCGCAGCAAGUGUAUGGAUGGAGAAAUAGGCUUCAAGUGUGGCACAAGAACAUCAAGAUUCGAGCUACAGCACCACCUUUGAGAAAAAAGAACAUAUAUGUCACAACAAGGCCAUGCAUGGCGCAAGAGCGUACUCCAUGGCUUAAUAGGAGUACCCCAUGGUGCAAGAGGGAUCCUCAUGGCGCAAGAGGAACCCCUCAUGGAACAAGAGGGAGCAUAAUGGCGUAAGAAGGAAUGCCCAUGGCACAACAACAUCCUUCUUGGGCCAUCCCUUCAACAUAUGGCGCAACAAGGUUCCCUUGUUGCUUCACAUCACUCCCAAGUGCUCCAAACCCCCUUAUGUAUGAUCCGUUCCUUUGGCACUUGAUCCGUUCCUUUGUCAGACGAUCCAUUCCUUUGUCAGACGAUCUAUUCCUUUCUCAGAUGAUCCAUUCCUUUGUCACAUGCUUCUUGAACCCCAAGUGCUCCAUUGAUUUCCAAGUGUUCCAAAUACUCCAUGAACACGAUCCAAAUUAUCCAUGAACAUGAUCCAAGUGCUCGAGUCACAUUUAACAAUCUCCACCUUGAUUUGAGCAUCCUCUAAACUCCACAUCGGAUAAGAAAUUCCUCUCCCUUGCCGCCAUUCGUCCCCAAAGGGACUUACCUCCUACGAACAUUAACCAAGUCCAAACAAAGCUUGAAAUUCUCUGUGGGCAACGACUUUGUCAACAUAUCUGCUGGGUUGACCUUGGUAUCAAUCUUUAGUAUUGAAAAAUUGUCUCCUUCCAGAAUAUUCUGAAUGAAAUUUAGCCUGAUAUCAACGUGCUUCGUCUUCUCGUGAUAUACAUGGUUCUUUGCAAGACACAAAGCACUUUGACUGUCACAAUACAAGACAUGGUUCUCCACCUUCAGACCAAGACUCUGAAUAAGCCCUUGCAACCAUAUCUCCUCCUUUAUUUGUUCCGUCAUGGACAUGUACUCAGAUUCAGUUAUAGACAAAGCAACAGUAUCGUGUAACGUUGAUUUCCAAAUGAUGGCACAUCCAAAUAAAGUGAAUAUAUAGCACUUCCAUGACCUGCACUCCAUCAAGUCACCACCAUAAUCAGAGCCAACAUAUCCCCCUAAGUUACUCUUCGUAUUUGCUCCAUACACCAAGAAAACAUCCAACGUUCCCUUUAAGUAUCACAAGAUCCACUUUACAGCUUCCCAAUGAGUCUUCCCUGGAUUACUCAUAAACCUACUAACCACACAAACUGCAAGAUCCAAAUAAGGUUUGGUACAGACCAUACCAUACAUGAGACUUACAACAAAACUUGAGUAUGGAACCCUACUCAUGUACUUCAUUUAUUCAUUAGUAGUGGGUAUAGUUUUUGGACCAAGUUUAAAGUGAGCCGCCAUAGGAGUUCCAACUGACUUGGACUAAUCACAAUUGAUAGAUUGUAGAAUUUUCUCAAUGUAUUUAUGUUGAGAAAUACAUAACCGCCCUGCUCUUCUAUGCCUUUGUAUCCCCAUUCCAUGUAUCUUCUUUGCUGCUCCCAAAUCCUUCAUUUCGAACUCAUUUUUCAGGUUCGCCUUCAAUUCAUUUAUUCCAACCAUGUCCUUGGUUGCGAUGAGCAUAUUAUCAACAUAUAACAACAAAUAUAUGUGGGAAUCCAGUGACAAUUCCUUUGAGUAAACACAAUUGUCAAACUGGUUCUGAGUGUAGCUCUUCGAGAUCAUGAUUGAAUUAAAUCUCUUGUACCAUUGUCUUGGAGACUGCUUCAAACCAUACAAGGAUUUAUUCAUGAAACAUACGUGAUCCUUAGUAGAAUCAAGGAAACCUUUUUUAUGGGACAUAUAAAUAUUCUCUUCUAAGUUCCUAUGAAAAAAAUGCAGUUUUCACAUUAAAUUGUUCAAGCUUCAAAUCAAAUGCACUCACCAUGGCCAAAAGAACCCGAAUUGUCUUGUGUUUCACGAUCAAUGAGAACACCUCGUGAUAAUCAAUUCCUUCUUUAUGAGAAAACCCUUUUGUCACCCAACUUGCCUUGAACCUAGCUGGAUCAACUCAUAGUACCAAUUCUUUCUUCUUAAAGAUCCAUUUGCAUCCUACUGGAUUUGCUCACUUUGGUAAAGGAACAAGAUCCUAUGUUUCAUUCUACUCUAAAGAUUGCAUUUCUUCAUUCAUGGCCAUCAACCAUUCAUUUGCUUCUUUACUAACCAUAUCCUCUUUAUACGAUUGAGUCUCGUUGGUAUCAAUGUCUUUUCCAGUUGCUAAAGCCAAAGCAAUAGAGUCUAGUUCACCUGAAUUCACACAUCCUACAUAUCUAUCUCGUUGUCGAAUGACCCUAUUUGAUAUUCUCUUUGCUAUAGAUUCAGACAUAUCAUCCUUCCCGAAACCAUCACUACUAGACGAAGAUCCCAUGGGUUGCUCUUGGGUUUCAUCUUGUCCAGGUUGUAUAUAGCCACCUUGCUCUUUGUUACUUACCAUAACUCUUUCUGGAGUUUGAGCUGUAAACUCCACCUUCUGGCUAGCACCUUGAUCUGUGUUCCUUUCUUGAAUUAUAUCACCUCCUCCCUGGUUAUCCAUGGCAGAUUCAUCAAAGGUCAGAUCUCUGCUCAUGAUAAAUUUAGGAGUUCUUCCUUCUUCUGUACACCACAGUCGAUAAACUUUUACUCCUGUCGCAUAUCCUAGAAAUAUGCACUUCAUUUCCUUUGGCUCAAGUUUACCAUCAUUCACAUGAGCAUAUGCGAGGCAUCCAAACAUAUGUAAACUAGAAUAGUCAGAGGUUUUCCCAAACCAAACCUCUUAAGGAGUCUUCAAGUCGAUUGCAUUUGAUGGUGAUCUGUUCACCCGAUAGCAAGCAAUGUUAACUGCUUCCGCCCAUAAUUGUUUGGAUAAGUUAGUAAAUAUUUGCAUACACCUAGCAUGCUGCAUGAGUGUUUGGUUCAUCCAUUCUACCACUCCAUUUUUCCGUGGUGUGUGUCGCACAGUGCAGUACCUCACUAUAUCUUCUGCCCUGCAGAAAUUAUCAAAUGGAGCAUUGCAGAGCUCCAACCCAUUGUCAGUCCUCAGAGUCUUGAUCUAUUUUCCAGUCCUUUUCUCAACCAUGGUCUUACACUCCAUGAACUUCCCAACACCUCAUAUUUGGUCUUCAAAAAGUAAAACCAAACCUCCUUGAAUAGUUAUCAAUGAACGCCCAAAGUAUGAACAUUCUCCUUGAGAAUUCACUGGUGUAGGACCCUACAGAUCUGAGUGAACAUACUCCAGGAUUUCCUUGCUUCUGUGUUGACCGGUACCGAACUUCAUUUUGCGAUGCUUUCCCUUAAUGUAAGCUUCACAAAACUUUGUAUUUCCCGUAGCGUCUCCACCAAGUAGUCCUUGUUUACUUAGAACUGACAUGCCCUUUUCAUUCAUGUGCCCCAAACUACAAUGCCACAACUCUGUCUUUUCAUCACCUUCAUUCAAGGAUUGAGAGAUAGCUACCAUUCCCAUAACCGUACCGCCUUCUAGGAUAUAGAUCCCUCCACGAUUCAUCUUCCCUUACAUUAUAACCAGAGAGCCUUUAGUCACUUUGACCCAGUCACCUUCACCAACAUACCUCAUUCCAUUCUUAGCCAAUGUGCCAAGAGAAAUCAAAUUCUUCCGAAGUUAUGGAACGUACCAGCAAUCUAAUUUCCUGACCAUGCCAUCGUGUGUCUUGAUAUGCACCGUGCCACUACCUUUGAUACUGCUCACCCAUUCAUCACCCAUCUUGAUUAUGCCAUCUACUCUUUGAAGGAGUCGAACCAGUCAUGAUUAUAUGUCAUGUGAUAGGAUGCUCCAAAAUCUAAGACCCAAGCAUCAUCAGAACUUGAUGUACUCACAGUCAAUACAUCAACUCCGUCCCCUUCAUCAGAACAUUCCUGAACCACAAUAGCAGUGUUAUUGUUGCUUGAUUCACUCUUGAAUUUCCCAUUCUUCAGUUGUGGACAAUUUUGCUUGAACUGUCCCUUCUCCUUACAGUUAUAACAUUUCGCGUUCGAUGAACCUUUAGACUUUGAUUUCGAACGUGAUCUCUCUCUGCUUCCCCCUUUCAUCUCCUUUGUCCUUGCUCUCCCUACAAACAAAACGGAGCUGGAAACCACUUCUUCAACUAAAACUUUUCUUUUUAGUUCCUUGGACAUUAGCGAUUCCUUCACAUCAUUCACAAUGAUCGUUGUCCUACCAUAGAGCAUGGUAUCAAUGAAAAUCUCAUAUGAGUUUGGAAGAGAACAUAAGAGAAUGAGCGCCUGAUCUUCAUAUUCAAUCUUCACAUCAACCCCUUGUAGAUCCAAGAUGAUGCGAUUGAAGUUAUCCAUAUGAUCUUUCACUUGGGUACUUUCAAACAUUCUAAGAGUGUACAACCUUUGCUUAUGAUAUACCCUGUUCGUCAGUGAGUUGUUCUGGUACUUGUCACAAAUUUUAUCCCAGAGCCCAGUAUGUAACAUCCCAAAAAUCAUGACCAAAAAUUUCAUUUUAAACCAUUAAAUAAAACCAUAGUUAUCACCAUUCCAUCAAAACAUGAGUCAAAGUAUUCGAAAACAUUAUUAUCAGAGUUUCCAAAUCAAAACAUCAGAGUAAACAUCCCACGCUAAACAUCAUGGUGUGUGCAAUGCAGUCAUCCCGAGCCCUUCUCUUUGCAACUGGAAGUACCUGAAACCAAAAAUGAAAACCGUAAGCACGAAGCUUAGUGAGUCUCCCAAACUACCACAUAUCAUACACAUAAUCACGUAAACUGGGACCCCGCUCCUUCAUCGGGCCCCGCCCGACAUCGGACAAUGUCCGACAUCAGACCCUGCCUGGCAUCAGGCCCUGCCUGGCAUCAAGCCCCGCUCAGUAUCCAUAUCUGUUCCUCCCAGGCCCUGCCUGUCACUAGGCCCCACCCGUGAUACACAUACAAACAAUAUCAUAUAAUCAUGCUAGCACAUAAAUAAUAAUACACAAUACUAUAUGUCCCAAUAGUAAGGCCUCGCCUAUUAUGGGCCCCCUACUUUGCUAAUGAUGAGAUAUGGAACCCCGUCCACACUCAACUAGUGAUGAGAUACGGUUCCCCGACCACACUCACCUCCCUACCAGGCACAUACAAGUAUCACGAAGACAGCAAGUAUAACUAACAUAAAUACAUUCAUCGGGUACCACCCGCCAUCGAACCGUAGACCAGAAUCAUACAUAUAAACAUUCCUCCGCCCCACCCGACAUCAGACUAUAAUCUGGAAACAUACAAACAUUCCUCGAGCAUUGCCUGACAUCGGAUCGAAAUUUAGAAAUACAUAACAUAAAUACGGGCCGACAUUGGUGCCUUCGACCCAUUCAAACAGGAGGAAACUCACCUCGUAAAGCUGAAUCUCAUGGAUAAUCCUCUGGCUGCUAGCUGGCAGAUCCCCAAACUAUCGAUCUCUUGAAUCCCUGAGCUACUAUUACCAAAAUAACACCUAGUCCAGAAACCAAUAAUCCUCCUUAAGGUAAAAUGACCAUUUUACCCUUGAUCUAAUUUGGUCAAUGCCUAAGACCCAAAACCAUAACAUGAAAGGCCCAAUACUAGGUAGACUUCCCAAGCCUACUAGUGGCCCAUUAAUGGCCUAUUUUUCUAAAUUGGGCCCAACCCCUCUAAUGGGCCGUACCCUAAAGCCCAAACAUAUUCUUAGCCCAAAAUAUUUGGCUUCUGAUGGCCCACUAAGGCCCAAAGAAACAAAGUCCAAUAAAAUGGCCCAAACCGACGCCCAAAAACGGCAAAGCCCAAAUCUGUUGACUACGAGGGGCGUGCUACUCAGUAAGGUAAGAGUACAGGUUGUAUGGCUUGUACGCCCAAUGUACUGCUCUGUUAAGCCACUUCUACCAUUAAGCACUUAAUACUUUAUUCUAAAGGAUAAAAUCAUAGAUCCAAGUCCUCUUCAACAUCUUAAUCCAUAAAGACACUGACUUGGUGACUUUAUUUGACCCACAUGAACCCAAACUCAAAGUAUUGCAAUAUACUUCCAUGAAAAUGGCCAUAACUCUUGCAUAAACCAAAUAAGACCUUCAAGAUGGUAACUUUCUACCUUAGGGACUCAUAUAGCACCAAGGGUGACAACCCUUAGCCUAGAAAUGGAUUUGGAACCAUAAAGCUCCAUUCUUGGGACCAAAGAGGUCCAAAAACUAAACACAAGAGAUCUAAGCAUUCAAGAGGAAAGUUCAAGACUUUAUAGCUGACGAAGAUCUGAAAUGGAGCAACAAUCCUGGAUCUACACCUUCUUCUUUGAACCACCACCUUGCUUCAACCUUCACUUCCUUGGGGAAUGGAUCAAAACACUAAGAAUACUCUCAAAAGGCCUUCCAAGCACAAGAACACUCACAAUAUGGAUUAGGGUUUAGUAGUAGCUUCUUUACGGUGAGAAGGAGGCUGAUCUUGAGGCAUAAUGUUCCUUAUAUAGUGUUAUACCCUAAAAUUUAUGGUUUUGGUCUGAAUGGAGUACGCCCUGCGUACCUCUUAGUACGCCCGACAUACACACAAACCACCCGCGACCAUAGAACUUUAUACGCCGGGCGAAACCCAACUUACGUUGGGCGUUCCCAGCCGAACACAUGCAGGCAUCCCUUGCAUGCAUGGGACUUAUCUGCCAAACAUUUCUAUUAGGGGCUAAAUCUGCCAAAACCUUCAAAGUGCUAUAACUUUUUCGUUCUAAGUUCAUUUCCGACGAACUUUAUAUCCAUGGAAAGGUGACGAGAAGCCCUAUGCUUCUAACAACUUCUCAUUACCUAAAAAAUUUCCGAACAAGAACACAAAAUCCCUAGAAGGUCAAGAUGUCAAAUUACGAUCAUACCCUUGGCCUCCGAAGACACAAUCAAACACUUGGGUCACGUAUACCCUAAUACCCACAUCAGAAAUGGGCCAAAUCCUUCCCUUCCCAAGACCAUAACCCUUAAAACAACUGAUGAUUCGGCCGCAACCCUAGAAGUGAGGCACUUUUACAACUGGAUGUUACAUAGUAAUAGUUGUUUGAUUAACGACCUCCUUCAAUACUUCAUCUGUUAAGCUCAACAGAAUGACACUAUGUUCUUUCGUCAGAAUGUCCACCUUCUUCUCAGCCGCCAUGCCCUUUGGCAGUUUUGCCUCUUUUUCCAAUGUCGUUGCACAACCUUGUUGACCCACAAGAGCCUUCAACUUCACCUUCCACAUGGUGAAGUCAUUUGAACCAUUGAAUUUCUCCAAAUCAAACUUGCGAGUAGACAUCUUCAAUCACAGAAAUACAAACCACAACUUUGAUACCACUUGUUAGGAAGUAAAGCGGAUAACUAGCAAAACUACAAGCACACAAGACAUAAUAUUUACGCGGUUCGGUCAUGGUGACCUAUGUCCACGGGUAGGAGGGGGUAUUAUUUUAUUUCAGAGCUCUCAAACAGAGGUUACAAGUACAAUUACACAGAGAUAUUCCUAUCACUCUAAAAUUCAAGAUACGAAAUGACCUAGUAUGCAUCCCUAUUUAUACUAGAGGGAUCAUACCUAAAACCUUAAUGAGCCAAGCACAUUGGCCCAUAGGCCCAUGAAUGGAGGCAACCAAUAAUAUUCCGCCACGCAACAUCUUCUGGAACAUUCUCGAGCAUCAUAGUAGACUUCAUAGCAUACUUGGCUCAUUAAGGACCAAGAUAUUUCAACUGACACCAUGAUGGCACAACAAGUGUAUGGAUGUCGCCACAGGCUUCAAGUGUGGCACAAGAACAUCAAGAUUGGAGUAACAACAUCCCCUUGGCGCAACAGGAACAUACAUGGGACAACAAGGCCAUGCGUGGAGAAAGAGCAUACUUCAUGUCUCAACAUGAGUGCCCCAUGGCGCAAGAAAAAAUGCCCUUGGCGCAACAACAUCCUUCUUGGCCCAUCCCUUCAACAUAUGGCGCAAUAAGGUUUCCUUGUUGCUCCAUAUCACUCCCAAGUGCUCUAAACAUAUUCUAUGUGCUCAAAACCCUCGUCUGUAUGAUCUGUUCCUUUGUUAGACGAGUGCUCCAUUGAAUUCCAUGUGCUCCAAAUGCUCAAUGAACAUGAUCCAAAUGCUCACAUUUAACAUAUAUAUAUAUAUAUACAUAUAUAUAUANNNNNNNNNNNNNNNNNNNNNNNNNNNNNNNNNNNNNNNNNNNNNNNNNNNNNNNNNNNNNNNNNNNNNNNNAAUGAGAGAAAUAACACUUGUGGUUUAUUAAUAUAUUAUAAGUUCUAAUAUAUUAAUAGUAUUAUUUAAUUAGUAUUGAUCAAGAAUUAAUUUGGAAUUAAUUAAGUGAUCAAAAGAUAACUAAUUAAAUAUAUGGGUUGAUUAUGUAAAUCAUCCAUAACUUGUAUAGUGGGCUAAAAGGCUCCAUGGAUUACCAAGUUGGGUUAAACCUAUAGGAUGCUCCAUGGGAGUUACAAACCCAUGGGCCAUGGAAAUGAAGAGUCAUGUCACAUUAGGGUUUACAUGGUGUAACCUUAGAUGUGACACACUAUAUAAGGAACAUGUUAUCUACCAAAAUCGGCUACACACUAAGGAAAAGAGAGGGAAAGCCGAUUUUUAGAGUGUUAUACAUUCUUUCAAAGCCAUUCCAAAGCAUUUGGUGUUGUGUGAAGCAUUUGAGGCAUCACACUUGGGGUGCUAGGCUCUCAAGGUUUUCAAGGAAUCAAAUCAACUACAAGGUAUGUAAUUCUAAACAUCUUUUAGAAUAAAAGUUUCCCAUGUAUGCUAGAUAGGAAUAUGAACCUUGGAUAUCAUAUUUUGCAUGUAUCUUAGAAAAACAUAGAUCCAAGGUUUUCUAGGGUUGCAUGUACACUUAGGGGUGUUAGAGUGCUGAAAACCCUUCAGUGGUAUUAGAGCCUAGGCUUGUUUGUAAAUACUUGAUGCAAAAUAGUGAUAAAAGUCGAUUUUUUGCUGUCUGCACAGGGGACUCGACGAGUCCAUGGGGAGGACUCGACCCAUGGACUCGUCGAGUCCAAGUGAAAAUGCAACCAACUCGGCGAGUCAGUUCGUGCACUCAACGAGUUGGUCAUGCAGAAUGCAGAAAUUUGAUUUUUGCUGCUGGAAAUGGACUAGAAACAUUACCCUAAAUUGUUUUGGUGUUGUAAAACUUGUUUUAGAUGAUGUAGUUGUUGUUCUAAUCCAUUUACAAUGGCUAAUAUCAAAUUUUCAUGAUUAUAUGUGCCCAUAUGUUCUUGAAACUUUGAUAUGAAUAUUCAUGUUCUUAUGAGUUUUGAUAGAUCAUAGGAGUUACUUUUUUAAAUGAUUAAUUCAUGAUCUUUAUGUGUUUUAAUGGAGUCCAUAACUUGUCCUCAAGUUAUGGAUAACCAAAAGUAUCUUUGUGUUAGAACCCAUUAAAAGAACACAUAAGUUAUAAAAUGAAGAGUCUUCAUUUUAAUGACUCAUAAGUUAUGAAUGUGAAAGGUUUUGUAAAGUUACAAAACUUGCCCUCAAGUUUUGGAACAUGUAAAUCACUUAAUAAACUUUAGUUCCAACCCCUAGAUUUUUAAAAGUUAAAAAUCAACCCAUAUACUUUAUANCCUUAUACUUAUAUUAUUAUGAUUUAAUAAUUAUAUAUAUAUGUAUAAGAACAAAGUCGUCUUACCGCUAGUACGCCUCAUUCACGAAGCCGGUCUAUAAGGUGGGUAUAAGGUUGUUGCCUAUAAAAUGGUGACUUAAUGGGUGUCCACUCUCACCCACCGCUUGCUUGAUCGGUGGAGGGUCGUUAGCCGAACGGGUAAGACAAGGACUUAUUAAUUCUCAUUCAAAGUAUGAUGAAUAUUAUAAAGUAACUAAAUGUUUUAUUAAAUUCCCAAUCUUAUGUUACUUUAGAAAAAUGUGAAAAAGGUGCUAAUCCAUGAAAUUACACUUUACACUUUGUUUAAGUCGUUGGUGGAGCGUGUGUGGUUAACCGGUACACUAACUUNGACUUAACAAGGUAGGUAAAGGGUGACUUAGGGUUUAUUAUAGUAUCGAUGGAGCGCGUGUGGUUAACCGGCACAUCGAUUGAGUGAUAAACUUUAAGGGUACCAAGUGAUUUGCAUGGUUACUUCACACCUCGUUUUGUGAUCCUCGGUAUCCCAGUCACAAAACUUGGAGGGCACACUUGAGAUUGAAACAUGCCUUUGAAAAGUUCAUUGAAUCUCAAAAGAAUCUAGGAAUUUCUAAGAAUCAAUUAAAAACCUAAUAUUUAUAUUUCGUUUUUCAUGGUGGAAAUUGGUGAAUUGUCAUUCACCUACCUUUAAAAUAUGUUAUAGCUUAGAUUACGACAUACCUCUUCUAAGUUACAAUAUAUUGUGAUUGGAUCCUAGACUUAAUAUUACAUUUAGGUGUUUUAUUAAGGACUCUCUUAAUAUCUAAACUAAUCUUGUUAUCUUCUUUUCAGAUUUCUUCCAACAACACUGCUUCUGGCUCAAACCCUACUGGCUCCUUUUCCCUCAUGAAUCUAUGUGGGAGGUUCAUCUUCGAUGGUUCCAACUUUAUCGAUUGGAUCUGGAACAUCAGGAUGGUGACUCGUUAUGAGGACAAGGAAUAUGUCCUCGAUAAGGAGCUAAAGGAGAUCGAUGAGUCGACUGCUACUCCGCAAGAGAUCGUUGACUUUUGGACUCAUGAAAGAGAUCCCACCAAAGUGGCAUGCAUCAUGAUGGCCACCAUGACAGCUGAACUCCAGAAGUCCUAUGAGGACUACUACCCUUUUGAGAUGCACCAAGAUAUGAUGGAAAGAUACCAUCAGAGUGCUCGUCAAGAGUGGUAUGAAAUAAUCUGCUCCAUGAUAAUAACCAGGAUGAAGGACGGAGAUUCAAUUACGAGACACAUGCAUAAAAUGCAAAGGUAUGUGGAUCAUUUGCUGAAGCUUAAUGUGGACUUCCCUGAGGAGCUUGCAAUAGAUAUCAUUUUGCACUCCUUACCUUCGUGUUAUGAUCACUUCCGUAUGACAUAUCACAUGAAUAAAAAAGAAGUCACACUUAGCAAACUUCAAGGACUCUUAAAGACCGCAGAAACAUGUCUUAAAGGUAAGUCGGUUAUUAACUCUCCUACUCCUACUCCAAACUCCACCCCUAUCUUGGCAAUCGGGAAAGAUAGAGGGAAGAAGAGGAAGAGAUCUUCUAAGGGUACCAAGGCUAGGAACCUUGAUGGAUCUUCUUCAAGUGGAACCAAGAAAUGUUUCGUCACUUCUUCUUCUGACCCAAAAGAGGCUGAAUGAUUCUAUUGCCAUGAAAAGUCGCACUGGAAGCAGAACUGCCCAAAGUACCAGCAAGAUGUGAAGGAUGGGAAAGUUAAACCUAACCAUGCAGGUAUUUACACUAUUCUAUCUAAUAACUCACCCUAUUCUAACUCUUGGGUCCUUGAUACAGGUUGUGGUAUUCAUAUCUGUUCUGAUUUGCAGGGACUAAGAAGAAGUGAGAAUGUGGAGCAUGGAAAGAUAAACUUGAUCAUGGGGAAUAGGAAAGCUUCACCAGUCACCAAGAUUGGAGUUUAUUCUUUGUUGCUAAGUAGUGGGUUUACUUUAGAUUUGAAUAAAUGUUGUUAUUCUCCAGAAAUGACAAGAAAUAUUAUUUCCUUUCAUGCGUUGUACAAACAAGGGUUUACCUUUUCUUUUGAUAAUGAAAUUGGUGGAAUAAAUGCUUUCUUUAAUAAUGUUCUUUAUUUUAAAGCAUUACCUUGUGAUGGUGUGUAUGAAGCUAUAUCUGUUGUAGAUAAUCUAGGAAAUAAUGUAUUGUGUAUUGAUUCUUCUGAUAAUAAUAACCUGGAUAAAGCAUCGUUAUGGCAUUGUCGUCUUGGACAUGUGAGCAAGAAACGCAUAGGUCAAUUCCAAAAGGAUGGAGUCUUGGAGUCAUUUGACCUGAAGUCAGAUGAUAGUUGUGAAUCAUGCUUACUUGGAAAAAUGACAAAGUCACCCUUCACUGGUUCUUGUGCUAGUGGUGAAGGUUUGUUGGAUCUGGUACACAUGGAUGUGUGUGGACCCUUCAAAUCUGCCACAAGGGAUGCUAAUCGUUAUUAUUUGACUUUUACUGAUGAUUAUAGUAGAUAUGGAUAUGUGUAUUUAAUCAAGCAUGAGUCAGAGACUUUUGAAAGGUUUAAGGAGUUUAAACAGGAAGUCGAGAAUCAAUUGGGCAGGAACAUUAAGAUGCUUCGAUCCGAUCGAGGUGGAGAGUAUCUUAGUACAGAGUUCCUUGACUAUCUUAAGGAAUGUGGGAUUAUCUCACAAUUGACACCUCCCAGGACACCACAGCUUAAUGGUGUGGCUGAGAGGCGCAAUUGAACCUUGUUGGAUAUGGUUUGUUCCAUGAUGAGUCGAACUUCGCUACCAAUCUCAUUUUGGGGGUAUGCCUUAGUGAUUGCCGCCCAUAUCCUUAAUCUGGUCCCUACAAAGAAAGUUGCCAAAACUCCUCAUGAUAUUUGGAAUGGUAAGGUUCCCAAACUAGACCACAUCAAGAUUUGGGGUUGCGAGGCUUUCGUGAGACGCGAGACUCAUGAUAAGCUCGAACCUCGAAGUGAGAGGUGUAUUUUCAUCGGCUACCCACAUAAAUCCUUUGGUUACAUCUUCUACAGACCUAGUGACAAUGUGGUCUUUGUAGCAAGGAGGGGUUUCUUUCGAGAAAGAGAGUUCAUAAGCCAAGGAAACAGUGGGAGCCAAAUUGACCUUGAAGAAAUUGAAGAGUCAAGUGGUGAAGGAACUUCAAAUCCUAGCACUUAACCUGAGGAGGAAACUCCUAUUGAGACAAUUGACAAGUCUGUACCUCUAAGGCGUUCAACAAGGGUUAGGAAUGCACCUGAGCAUUAUUAUGGUUUCCAUAUUACUACGAAAGGUGAGACACUUAUCAGUGAUGAGACAUUGGUAAGUCUGGAUGAACCUAACAGUUACGUGGAAGCCAUGGUAGGCCCCGAGUCUUCCAAAUGGAAAGAGGCAAUGGACAGCGAGAUACAAUCCAUGUAUGAAAAUCAAGUUUGGAACUUCGUUGACAAUGUACCAAGUCGUAAGACAGUUGGGUGCAAAUGGAUCUUCAAGAAGAAGACCGAAAUGGAUGGUAAUGUACACACAUAUAAGGCGUGACUGGUUGCAAAGGGUUUUUCUCAAACUCCGGGAGUUGAUUAUGAUGAGACCUUUUCACCAGUUGCAAAGAUUAAAUCCAUUAGGGUUCUGUUAGCCAUUGCUGCAUUUCAUGAUUAUGAAAUAUGGCAAAUGGAUGUCAAAACCACCUUCCUUAAUGGAAGUUUGGCUGAAGAUGUUUACAUGAGUCAGCCAGAGGGUUUUGUCAGCAUAGAAUACCCUAAUAGAGUGUGUAAGCUCGAGAAAUCCAUUUAUGGAUUGAAACAGGCACCUCACAGAUGGAAUCUUUGCUUCGAUGAGAAAGUGAAAGAGUUUGGCUUUUCGAGGAGUGAAGAUGAAUCUUGUGUCUGUGUCAAGGCUAGUGGGAGUAUAGCUAGAUUUUUGGUACUGUAUGUGGAUGGCAUACUUGAUGGGUUUUGGUCCUAAGAACAUCCUAUGUGCUCAUACAAACCCUAAUGCUUGGAUCUAGGUUUCUCUAUUGUACAUGCAAGUUAUCCAAGACUAUAAACCCUAAUUCUAACAUUCAAGUAAUCAUAUUAACAUGAGAAUAGGUUUAAGAUGUUACCUUGAUUGUUAUGUAGCAAUAACAAUCCCAAAUCUCCUUGUAUUGACUUUAGAAAGCUUAGAGUCACAAAUGUCACUCCUCUAAUGGUUCACAAACACCAUAAGCAAGAGGAUGAAGAGGAGAGAGGAUGGAGGCUUCCCUAAAACGUGUGAAACCCUAGAAGGUUGCUUAUCCACGUUUUUGGGCCUUAAGGGGUCUAUAUAUAGUGAGGCAAUUAGGGUUAUCUAACAAGGAAACCCUAAUUUGGUUGCUUAAGCCCUAAGCAACCCAUGGAGCCCUUUCCUUAAGGCCUUGGACGAUUUCAUAUGGGCUUCCCCCAUAGAAUUCGUCCACCUUAUAAUAAAAGGCAAUCCAUGGCCCAAAUUGCAAUUAUCUUAUAAUUACAAUUCCAGUCCCUUAAGUUUAAUUAAUCUCUUUUAGUCACAAAACUAAUUACCAAUUAAUUAUUGACUAAUAUUAAUUAAACAAUAUGAUUUCUCCUUUAAUAUAUUAUUCUCAUAAUAUAUUAAUAAAUCAUAUUUAAUCCUUUCUCUCCAUAAUUCAUCCUAUCAAGUUGCUUUGGUGAAGGCAACCCAAAAGGACCAUGCACCAUCGGGUCAAGUACAUACCAAAAUAGUUAUGGACUUAGACACUAAUCCAACAGUCUCCCACUUGGAUAAGUCUAAUAACUAUUAUGCGUAUGACUUCAGAUCCUGAUCUGCAAUCGUAGCUUUCCAAAGCCGCUGUCAACUCUGAUCCUAUCAGAUACGCGUGUCCUUAGAUAAGGGAUCAUAUAUUCCUCCAUUCUAGAUAUCAUAUGAGAUAUGAUUUCAAAUCAUUCUCUUUGUACUAUAUCUCGAUUCCCGAUUUAUGACGACUGACUAAUUGAACAAAUCAAAUUAGCCCUAGCCCGGCCGAGCAUUUACGUUUGUCAUCACUAAAUCAUCGAGGGGCCCAAAGAUAUCGCUUUUAUCCUACUUUGGAUAAAAGGAACGGAUAAACUUUGAUACAAUGCUUGCUUGCACUCACUCACCGAAUCACACACAACAAUAUGUUUUAUAACACCAAGUUACUAGUGCGUUUACAUAUUAUCAAUGUGCAACCGAUUUGCAAGAUACAACUCACACAUCUCGGUUUCAAGAAUAUAAGAUGUUAUCGUCUCACCAAUCACUCGUGAUACAAUUCAUGGAGUGAUCCAAGUGAGCGUGGGUUUAAUCCAAUGCUCAAAUCAUAUUCAUAAGCACUCAUGAACGUUGCAGCAAACAUUUGCUUAUGUCUAAUACUCUUUAGACAAUCCACACACCAAUUCACGACAGUCUUCAUUCAUAUCUACUUCCAACAUAUGAACGACUGUGGCCCGUUCGAAUAAUUCGAUUAUUCUUAAUAAACUCAAUUAUUCUGGAAGUCAAAACAUGCAAAUGUGAAACACAAGAAUAAUACUAAUCCCAUAUGGCCUCAAACCUUUGAGUAUAAAUAAAACACCUUUUAUUUAUCACCAUAUCGAUUACUCAUUAUUUGUCGUUUCGGGUAAUCAACUUCUUACUUGAAUUAUUACACUUGUCCCAUGCUCCUAGCAUGCACACAAUGUUUACCUAUGGUUCUUACUUUGUGAAAUAGAUCAAAUUGAACACAUUUCCAAUCAUUCUCAUUUCACAACUCCAAAUCCUUUUUCAUAAGUGUAAGAAUAUCAAAUUCUUGCUACUUAUAGAAUAUGCUAGAUUCUAACAUUCUAUGCAACUAUCCUUUCGUAAUGUCACUGCACCAAAGUCACAAAGACUAUUGCCAAUGAUAUUACAAAGUCCUCUAUCGGAGAUUGUUACAAGACAAUUCCAUAGAUGUGAUGUCUCUCACUCAAAGUACAUUCUUUGAACAUCCUUUUGCAUAGAAGUUUCUAAUCUAGUCAUAGAUUUCUCAAUAUUCAAUUCCCAAUAUGGACACACUUCCAUAUGUUCCAUAUGACAACUCAUUCUUAAUAGAAUCUUAUCUAUUCGUAAUGAUGUCGAUAUGGUCCAUCCAAUAUGGAAACAUUUCCAUAUUUUCCAAUACUAUACUUCCAACUACUCACAAGCGACCAAUCCUCGUCGAACUUGGGAUUGUCCUUUGAUAGUUGUUUAAUUAUUUUAGUCAAAACCGAUUCUAGUCCCUUUUCCCUCUAAAUGCGCUCGACAUUUGGAAAAUUUUAGAAUGGUCAAACAUUAAAGCAUUUGCAAUCGAUCCUAUACCCGAAGCGUAUGGGACACGACGCAUAAUGUUUUAUUUGCUAUGUUCUCAAAAUUCGAAUUGUGAAGAGGGAUGCCGUAAUCAUAAUCGAAAUUUUAAGAACACACUAUGUACCUUUGACUAAAUUUAUUAACAUUUCUCAACCUAAUCCUUUAGAUUUGAAAUGAAGCAUAAUAUUCUCUCCCUUAAUUAUAGCAAAACAACUUUUCAACUCUUACAACUUUGCAAAGUAUGACUCUUGUUUUCUAUAAUUAAUAUUGCUAACCUUGCAAUACUUUCCUUAAUAAUCAUACAAUCAUAACAUUUAUGCUCCCACUAUCAUGAUGAUUAUUAUAAAACAUAACACUUAUGCUCCCACUAGCUUCGACAUGUAUUCAUAAACAUCUUAACUUUCAGAAAACAAUACUUAUUGAAUUUCUUAAGUUCAUGUUUCUAAUACUUAGUGCUUUGAUAAUCCUUUAUCAAUGCUUCUUGAACUUAUACACCUUUGCCUUCGAUAGUUCAUAUGUGUGUCUAAACAAUUAAGACUAAUUGCCAAACCUCACAAUUCAAAUUAUGGAAAGGGAUGCCGUAACCAUAAUUGAAUUUGAGAAUGCAAUUUUACAAUCACUAUCUUCUUAAAAUCUCUCUUAGUGAAAGCAUUUCUUCACAAUCAUUUUCAUGAAGGAGGAAAUCUUAUGACACUUAGAUUUGAGCGGUGUAUGUGUUCCUAUCCAUGUGAAUUUGUUAAAACCAAAGUUUACGACAAAUUCAAACUCAUAUGGACCGAACUUUCUUAAUCUUGAUUUCUUGCCUUAUGGUAGCACAGCUGCCCACCAUGUCUUCCAAGUAGUUAAGCAGCUCACCUUUUCCUAUCAAUGUACCUUUCAUUGAUUAAGGUGCUUUGCCUUUUAUGCGUUCAAAAUGAGAACUCAUAGAACUCACAUGCAUAAUUAACUCGAUUGGAUUGGCACAGAAUCAAAAUAAUGUCAACACGAUAGGUUGUAAACCUCAACUCGUGUGCUAGUGAUGAUCGAUAAGGUUUAUUUGAUUUGUUCUUGAAACCUUUCAAGACCAUUAAGACUCCCACUGACUCCUUGACAUAUAAGAUUCUCUUGUCAAUAACCAUUUCUUGACAAACAAAUAUUCAAGAGUUAGUGUAGCUUUUAUCAAAACACUUCAUAAAUUGGUCCUAGUUGGUCUUUGUCUUAUCCAAGACAUCACAACUUUCCACAUUUGAUGAAUGUUAUAAACCUUCUUAAUACUUUUCACUCAUUGUCACAAUCUUAACUCUAAGACUUGUUUUGGAACGAAGUAUGAUUGACUUCUUGAUUUGACCAUUUCUUCAAUCUUUGAUUCCUCUUCUUGGACAUACAAUUGUACCAAGACUCACUUAGAGGAUCAAUUGAGAUAUGGUUCUUAAUCAUUAAGACCUAUCAUAAAGCAUAAAAGGUACUCUCCCUUCUUCUUAGAAUGGAGAAACUUUUAUCUUUCUGCCUACUUGAUUCUUCUUAUUCGUUCUGCUAUUGAUUUAAACCUUUUCAAUCAAUUCAGAAUUACACUUAAUCUUAUAAGUAUAAUCAUAUUUACUAAACCUUUAGUAAAUCAUGACGAAUAUCUUUGUUACUCUUAUGGUGGACUUGAUCAACACGCAACUUUGUGUACUCGAUCUCCUAGUCCUUCACUUGACACUUUGUCAAUGAAUUAGUCUAAUUUCCAAAUAUGAAAUUUCUCAUUCAUCGUGCAACCAAGUUGCAUGAUUCCAAGUUUCUGUCCAAUUGAAACUUGGGCGAUGAGAAACUCUCCCUAUUUGGUAAAUUCUCGACUUUCCAUAAAUAACAUAAUAAGAACCAAAUCCAUUAUUGCUAAUAAUAGAAACAUUUUAACAUCAAUUUUUCAUACACGCCAUUGUAAGGAUAAAUAAAUAAAAUUUAAAAUCAAAAUUUAUUUUAUUGCGGAAAAAUUUGUCCUUACAAUGCAAUUCAUUGAAAAACUUAUGCUAAUACAUCUUUCUUAGCAAUCUAAUUCUAACUCUAAGUAGUAGCUCAAGAAUCUAAUCUUCGAGAAAUGCGAUCGAAAUCCAUUCCUUCACGGUUAGAUUCUGCUCACUUCUUCCCUUAAGCUUCCUUUCUUUUCUUCGAUCCUACAAAACAUCAAUUGUAAUCUUAUCACAUUAUGUAUUAAGAAUCUAGAAUAGAAGCUUAAAAGAGUUAGUUAAUGGAUUUUACCUAUAUUAGAGCCAUACGUUUCGACUCUCCCAUCUCUUAGAUCUCUUAGGUAAAUGGGGCAGCUUCGUCUCCAAUGCCCCUUCUCUUGGCAAUAAAAGCAAAUUGACUCUUUUGGAACAUGACAUGGAACUACUUCAGACAUUGCCUUUCUCUUAUGAUCAAACGUUUCGAUUAUAGCAUGUAUUUCGUUGCCAUUGUCUAUAUCUAUAGAGGUCUUAAAGGCAGAUUCACCAAUCAACUUUGCUUUUCCAUUGCGCCAAAACAUUUCUGAUUCAGCAACAAUAAGCAUAUAGGUGCGAUCUAUAAGGGUCACGUCGCAGUUCGUCAUAUAUUACUCUCUUUCGAACUCACUAUAUGAGUUAGGAAGUGACUGAAGAACCCAAUCAACAGCCAUUUCCUCACAGACAACGGAUCCCAACAUUCUUAACCUAUCAAUGUGUGACUUCAUCCCUAGGACAUGUGCACACACCGGCUUUCCUUCUUUAUGUUUACUUGCCAAAAGGGCUUGAGUGAUCUUGAACUUUUCAAGCCUUUGAACUUGUGGGUUAGGGAGAAUAAUUGGAGGAGGUGGAGGAAGUGAAGCAUGAUUUCUUGUUCCUCGAUCGAAUCGUGGAAUAUCAUCUUCAUGUGGAAUGCUUGUUCCACGGGAUUUGGGAAGACCAUAGUUGUCGAACUUUGACAUCUACAAAACGGGAGAAAACGAAUUCAAGUUAGUUGAUUGAUUGAGUCCUUAGUAAAUCACCCAAAUGAGAUACUAAGGCUAGGACCCAACACAAUAUUCUACAACUCGGGAGAGGGAUGCCGUAACCCUAAUUGCAGAAUAUUUGAAGGUAAGUGAAUGACGGUUCACUAAUUUCCACAGAAUAUUUGAAGGUAAUUGAACAUUUCAAUGGCAUGUUUAAAUUUCGAUAUGCCCUUCUUGUUUGUGACUGGGAUGCUGAGGAUCACAAAGCGGGUGUGAAUAACCAUGCAAACUUACAUGGUGCCCUCACAUGUUACAGUCACCUAUUCGAUGUGCCGGUAAACCACACACGCUCCACCGAACUAUGACAAACAUUGAGUCACCCUUUGCUACCUUUGCUUAGAACCAUUUAGUGUGCCGGUAAACCACACACGCUCCACUAACGUCUUCGCAAGGGCACAAAGUGUAAUUUCAUGGAAUUGCAUCAAUUCACUUUUGCCUAAGUAACUAAGAUUGGGAAUUUUAUGAAAACAUUUA